GCAAAGUUUAAUAAACAUCUACACCUUGAUAGAGAAUUUAAGUUGCGGUGGAGAAAAAAAUCGUGCUGGCUUGUUUCAUUGUUUUCUUGGCUAUGGUGCCCCUCGUAUUCGCACAAGUCUACUGUCCGCAUCCGCCUGGCCCGUGUCCUCCGAAUUCCAAAGAAUGUAUGAUCAAAUGCGAAAAUAGUUGCAAAAAUUUAAAUUGUGUUGCUUUUUGCGCAACAUAUUGUUGUGCCGGUUAAAAACUUGUUGCACCAACGCAAUCUGCAUACAUUGACGAUUUGGAGUUGGAGUAUCAACCUUGUAAGGCAGUAAUAAAACCCAAUGUCUAAUGCCGGAGUUUGAUGUUGGAUUCAUAUAUGAGAAUAAAAUUAUUGUCAAUUCGCUUAUUGCAUAAUAAAAUUAAAUAAAAGAGAGUAAUAUCAUUGUUAUGUUAACUUUCAUCUAUGUCAAUUUGAUCAUUAUAAACCUUUUUUUCUUUUCUUCCUUUAUCU
rnacentral:lncRNA from 1 species